GCCUGCCUGCCUGCCUGUCUGUCUGUCUGUCAACAUGAUCUCUCAUUUUAAUUCCUUCCUGCUGAUGUCUCUGAAUUGUUGUAUUUUCAACACUGUGAAGAUAAUGUUCUGGAAUAGCUGAAAUAUUAAUGUAUUCAAAAGUAACACAUUGGAAAUAAAAAAAUUCUCCAGAUUGUCUCAAAUAAAUGUCCUAUCUUGUUUGUACGGUUAUUGUUGAUUAUUGGAAAGGCAGCAGAAAUAGGUCAAAGGUCAAUAAAUGCUAUAAAUAACUGUUAUACUAUUGUUACCCCAACAUUUUAAAGGAGCAAUUUCCAUUAAUUUUGCUGGAAUAUGAUUCUAUAUGAAUACAUUGAGGCAAUAAUAACAAUUCUCUUAAUUUCUGUAUCAUUCUGCAUGUUGACAUAAUUUCAAGUAUCAAAUUAAAAAAAACCAAAUAAACAAAAGCAGACCUUUCAGUAUCAAUAAUGCCAGAAGGCUGUCCUUUACCAUACAACAAAUGUAAUUUGCUAUAUUACAAUAAAUUCCAUAUAUUAAGAUGGAAAAGAAUUAUACAAGUAUUUUUCAUCACUUGAUAUACACAGAUUAACUCUAAAAUAUCAAUAUGAAAUGUGGCAUUUAUUUGUAUUAUUUCUUAGUCUAUUGCUCCAAUUAAUUGGAUUACAAUUCCUCAAAUGAUAUACAAACUGCUUUCAUAAAUGAUUGUAUUUACAAUGUUCAAGCUACUGAUACGCAUACUGUUUAUUCCUGUAUAACUGAUAUUAUUCCUGCAUAACGUCCACUUAGGACAGAAAUGCAGGUCAGUGGUUUGAAAACUAAACAAACACUACAAAUACUUUAUAGACCUAUUUUAAUCUGCACAUAAAGCUAAUACAUUUCAGUGAUCUCACAGUAACUCCACAGGAUCUUUUUGAAUUCAAUUUCUAAUUCCUGGUGAAACACUGAUGAGCUCUGGGCCAGAAUAUGCACCCCGUUCUUAGCUAGCAAAUUAAAUUGUUAUACAGUAAAUAGCUACCCACAUAUACCCCUACAUGUUGUGUACAGAGUUUUCCUUAGUGAAUCUGGUCACAGAAGUUGUCUUUCUUUUUCUAAAUAGUGCAUUACAGUGCUAUUGAUGUUGCCAAAUGCUGAUGAUGUUGCCUAGUUGGGAAAUCAAACAUCUGCAAGCACAGAGAGCAUCAAAGACUCUACAGUUCAACUACAGAGUCUAUUGAUAUAUUUUUUCAUUAGAAUUAUAUAAAUUUUAUCAAACGAAUACAAUUCCCUUUAUCUUUAUAUAGUACAGUACUGUACUUUUAAAAUUAUCUUUAUAUAUUGCCUUUUCUUUGGAAGAAUGAUAUAGCUUAUAGAAUAAUUCCUUCCUCUCAUUUUCUCCAAGCAACUUUUGAACUAGUUUGAGCUAAAGGUUACCCAGGAAGCCUUUAUGGCUAAAGAUAGAUUGGGUCUCUCUGGUAGCAGUCCAGCCUCUUAAACACUGUCAAUAAAAAUGGCUGUCAUAUUACCAUUCUCCUGGACCCAUAUUAAUACUGAACUUUCAAUUGAA